rnacentral:rRNA from 1 species
GACGAACGCUGGCGGCGUGCCUAAUACAUGCAAGUAGAACGCUGAAGGAGGAGCUUGCUUCUCUGGAUGAGUUGCGAACGGGUGAGUAACGCGUAGGUAACCUGCCUGGUAUCGGGGGAUAACUAAUGGAAACGAUAGCUAAUACCGCAUAAUAGACGAUGUUGCAUGACAUUUGUCUAAAAGGUGCAAUUGCAUCACUACCAGAUGGCACUGCGUUGUAUUAGCUAGUUGGGGGGGUAACGGCCCACCAAGGCGGCGGUACAUAGGCGACCUGAGAGGGAGAUUGGCCACCACUGGACUGGGACACGGCACAGACGCCUGCGGGAGGGAGCAGGAGGGGAAUAUUGGCAAAGGAGGGAAAGCUUGCCGAACAAAGACGGGGGAGUGAAGAAGGGCCUCGGAGUGGUAAGGUCCGUUGUAAGGGAAAAAAGAGCGUGAGAGUGGAAAGUUCACGCUGUGACGGUAUCUAAACAGAAAGCGACGGCUAACUACGUG